rnacentral:lncRNA from 1 species
GUGUUUGAAAGUGUCCAAAAUUAAUGAAUUACAUUAAAUGCGUAUACCAAUUUGAUAAAAUUCAUUUUUCUGCCGUAGUCAAUAUACGCAUAUGUAAACUAAUUUUAUUGGAUAAUAAAGUAUGGUUUCUUUAUAAAGCUAAAGAAGCACGUCAUAUUAGAAUUGUACAUCUGUCUCUAUCCGGGACCCUGCAUUUCAGUGGUUGUCGACGAUUAAUGUCUAUCAUAUUUGUUUUUCGUAAACUAAAUUGUCACAAAUAAGCCGUUAGUUUUUUUCACGUUUGAAUUGUUUGACAUUUUUCAUGUCAGUAAAUAGACAAAUUAAGGAAGAUGUGAUAUGAGUGCCAAUGAGACAACUCUCCAUCAAAAUCACAAUUUAAAAUAGAUGUUUAAACACGAAUACACAGUGUGGUUUGGGUCUUUAUCAGACGGUGACCUAUAAUGCAUACAUUCACGUUAUUUGAAAUCUGUUUCAACCCUGGUGUAUAUAUUGUCUCGUCAGCAAUCAUAUCCCACAUCUUCAUUUUGUUAAUAAAAAAACCAAAACUUUCGCAUAAAUUCCUUGAAAGACAUUAUAAUAACUACA